UCAGGACGAACGCUGGCGGCGUGCCUAAUACAUGCAAGCCGAACGGCUUUCUAUGGAAGCUUGCUUCCACUGAGAAGAUAGUGGCGAACGGGUGAGUAACACGUGGGUAACCUGCCCAUAAGAGGGGGAUAACAUCCGGAAACGGGUGCUAAUACCGCAUAGUUUUCUUGAUCGCAUGAUUGAGAAAGGAAAGACGGCCUUUGUGCUGUCGCUUAUGGAUGGACCCGCGGCGUAUUAGUUAGUUGGUGAGGUAACGGCUCACCAAGACGAUGAUACGUAGCCGACCUGAGAGGGUGAUCGGCCACAUUGGGACUGAGACACGGCCCAAACUCCUACGGGAGGCAGCAGUAGGGAAUCUUCCGCAAUGGACGAAAGUCUGACGGAGCAACGCCGCGUGAGUGAAAGAAGGUUUUCGGAUCGUAAAACUCUGUUGUCAGAGAAGAACAAGUUGGAGAGUAACUGCUCCAGCCUUGACGGUAUCUGACCAGAAAGCCACGGCUAACUACGUGCCAGCCGCCGC
rnacentral:rRNA from 1 species